AUGAAUCGGAAUUGCGUUGUUUAAUUUUUUGGGGAAAAAGAAAUGUAUAUAUCCAUGAAAAUGAUCGAUUUUGUUGAGUAUUGGUAGAUUUACUGUUGGGAAGUAUUUGUAGGCUUGUAGCAUGUAAUAUAAUAUAAUAUAUCGAUAGAUAGAUAUGAUUAUAUGAUAGAAGUUGGGAGGAAGAUAGAAAGAUAGUUAGAAAUUAAUGUAUAACACGAGCAUUAACAACAACACUGCAAAUCGCAGCAUAUUAUAUAUUUUAUUUUCUCUUUUCCUGUGUUACUUGUUUGAUUUUAUCACUUAAUAAAAUGACCAAAUUACCCCUUGACAAUUUAUUAUAAUAAUUAAAUAUAAUCUAUGUUACGGAGGACUGCCGAUCUCUGUGGAAGGAAUAUCUGAGAUAAUGGACGUGGGCAGUGGCGAAGAUCUUGCUGGGUCGGUGGAGUGUUGCAUGUGUGGUGAUCUUGGUGUAAUCAAGGAACUGUUCCGGUGCAGAUCCUGUCAUUCCAGAUACCAACAUAAGUAAAUUCCCAAUUCCCAAUUCCAUGUAUUUACUUACUAUGGAUUGAUUUAAAAAGAGAAUCGAUUCUUAAUUUCAGGUAUUGCAGCAAUCUCUACCCAAAAGUGGAGUCCUACAGAUCAUGCAACUGGUGUUUGACCGACGAAGACGCCAAGAAGACGAAGAAAAUUGCAGCAAUCUCAAGUUCCGGCGCUACUACAUCUGAUGGAAAUUGCUUGAAGAGAGGUAGUUUGUCCCUGUGGGAAUG
rnacentral:lncRNA from 1 species